AUUUGACGUUACCUACAGAAGAAGCACCGGCUAACUCCGUGCCAGCAGCCGCGGUAAUACGGAGGGUGCGAGCGUUAAUCGGAAUUACUGGGCGUAAAGCGCAUGCAGGCGGCCUCGUUAAGUCAGAUGUGAAAGACCCGGGGCGUUAACCUCGGAAUUGCAUUUGAAACUGGCAGGCUAGAGUCUUGUAGAGGGGGGUAGGAAGUUUCAGGUGUAGCGGUGAAAUAGCGUAGAGAUCUGAAGGAAUACCAGUGGCGAAGGCGGCCCCCUCGGACAAAGACUGACGCUCAGAUGCGAAAGCGUGGGGAGCAAACAGGAUUAGAUACCCUGGUAG
rnacentral:rRNA from 1 species